UACGAAGGGGGCUAGCGUUGCUCGGAAUUACUGGGCGUAAAGCGCACGUAGGCGGAUUGUUAAGUCGGGGGUGAAAUCCUGGAGCUCAACUCCAGAACUGCCUUCGAUACUGGCGAUCUCGAGUUCGGGAGAGGUGAGUGGAACUGCGAGUGUAGAGGUGAAAUUCGUAGAUAUUCGCAAGAACACCAGUGGCGAAGGCGGACUCGCUGGCCCGAUACUGACGCUGAGGCACGAAAGCGUGGGAGCAAACAGGG
rnacentral:rRNA from 1 species